rnacentral:misc_RNA from 1 species
GAUGAAGAACGUAGCGAAAUGCGAUAACUAAUGUGAAUUGCAGAAUUCCGUGAAUCAUCGAGUCUUUGAACGCACAUUGCGCCCCCUGGUAUUCCGGGGGGCAUGCCUGUCCGAGCGUCAUUACAACCCUCAAGCCCGGCUUGUGUAAUGGGCGGCCGUCUCUCCCCCCGGGGGGAGACGCCCCCGAAACUCAGUGGGGAUGUCGCGAUACCGAAGCCUCAGCUAAUGGGUAAACCACAGCUGCAAUGGCCGCGGCCGGCGUCCGCCUUCCACGGUCCGUCCGCCUAGCGCGGGCGGCCUUCUCAAGGUUGACCUCGGAUCAGGUAGGGAUACCCGCUGAACUUAAGCAUAUCAUAAGCGGAGGA